rnacentral:rRNA from 1 species
GAGUUUGAUCCUGGCUCAGAGCGAACGCUGGCGGCGUACUUAACACAUGCAAGUCGAACGGGGAUCAUUGUGUGAGCAAUCAUGUGAUGGUCCUAGUGGCGCACGGGUGAGUAACACGUGGGUAACCUGCCCUCGAGACCGGGAUACCCCUUCGAAAGGGGGGCUAAUACCGGAUACGUUCCCUGGGUCGAAAGAUCUGAGGAAGAAAGGUGGCGCAAGCUGCCGCUCUUGGAGGGGCUCGCGGCCUAUCAGCUAGUUGGCGGGGUAACGGCCCACCAAGGCUAUGACGGGUAGCUGGUCUGAGAGGACGACCAGCCACACGGGGACUGAGACACGGCCCCGACUCCUACGGGAGGCAGCAGUGGGGAAUUUUCCGCAAUGGGCGAAAGCCUGACGGAGUGACGCCGCGUGUGGGAUGAAGGCCUUCGGGUCGUAACCACUGUCAGUGGGAAAGAUGGGCGUCGGCGCGAUAACCGCCGGCAUC